CAGAUUUAGUCGGGAAGAAGAAUCGUUGAGUGACCCUGCUCAACAACAGAUCAUCGUUUUUCGACUAUCCUCUCAACCGCUUGAUAUAGUUCUAAUUCAACUAUACCUGCCUUCAUCCCAGACAACAUCAGAAAGUCCUGUCCCACCAUUUGAACCAUCCCCACCAACAGAGAGAACCACAAAAAGUUGAUGAAAGCGCACCAACAAUGCCACCAGCUCCAUCUAAAAUGGAUCCAGCCCCUGAAGCGAGUGCUGUUGCACUAUUGAUGAUGGCCAGGACAGCGUCCUAUGUACCUAAAGAAUUACCAUUGCCAUCAUUUAGCCUUGGCCUGACUGAUUCAAGCCAAGAAGAAACACAGACCCAAGAGGGGGUUGCGCAAGCAGAAGCUCAGGUGGUAAAAAGUCCAGAAACUACAAUAUUAAUAGAAGAAUUAGAUGUGCUAGUGGAAAAGAUUGCAAAGAGUGGAGAAAAGAAAACACCAGAUUUUCCAGAAGGUAAAACUCUGCCAACUGAAAAGCAAACCGUGGGCCAGACUUUUGACAAAUUUGAAACUCCUGUGAGGAGAAAUUUAAUGUCGGCCGAAAUGAAAGAAAAAUGCUACCUCUGGACGACACGUAUCAGGACAUACGCGAACGACAGUACUGAUGAGUAUGAUUCAAUUUGCACACUGAACGCCCAACAACCGUUGGUGCUGUCAAGAGUCCACUUUGCAUCCUUAAAAGAUACUUCAUAUAUUGAA